rnacentral:rRNA from 1 species
GAUGAACGCUGGCGGCGUGCCUAAUACAUGAAAGUCGAGCGAACAGACGAGGAGCUUGCUCCUUUGACGUUAGCGGCGGACGGGUGAGUAACACGUGGAUAACCUACCUAUAAGACUGGGAUAACUUCGGGAAACCGGAGCUAAUACCGGAUAACAUGUUGAACCGCAUGGUUCAACAGUGAAAGACGGUCUUGCUGUCACUUAUAGAUGGAUCCGCGCCGCAUUAGCUAGUUGGUAAGGUAACGGCUUACCAAGGCAACGAUGCGUAGCCGACCUGAGAGGGUGAUCGGCCACACUGGAACUGAGACACGGUCCAGACUCCUACGGGAGGCAGCAGUAGGGAAUCUUCCGCAAUGGGCGAAAGCCUGACGGAGCAACGCCGCGUGAGUGAAGAAGGUCUUCGGAUCGUAAAACUCUGUUAUUAGGGAAGAACAAAUGUGUAAGUAACUAUGCACGUCUUGACGGUACCUAAUCAGAAAGCCACGGCUAACUACGUG